rnacentral:rRNA from 1 species
UACGUAGGGUGCGAGCGUUGUCCGGAAUUACUGGGCGUAAAGAGCUCGUAGGUGGUUUGUCGCGUCGUCUGUGAAAUUCCGGGGCUUAACUCCGGGCGUGCAGGCGAUACGGGCAUAACUUGAGUACUGUAGGGGAGACUGGAAUUCCUGGUGUAGCGGUGAAAUGCGCAGAUAUCAGGAGGAACACCGGUGGCGAAGGCGGGUCUCUGGGCAGUAACUGACGCUGAGGAGCGAAAGCAUGGGUAGCGAA